rnacentral:rRNA from 1 species
AUUGAACGCUGGCGGCAUGCUUUACACAUGCAAGUCGAACGGUAACAGGCCGCAAGGUGCUGACGAGUGGCGAACGGGUGAGUAAUGCAUCGGAACGUGCCCAGUCGUGGGGGAUAACGCAGCGAAAGCUGCGCUAAUACCGCAUACGAUCUGUGGAUGAAAGCGGGGGACCGUAAGGCCUCGCGCGAUUGGAGCGGCCGAUGUCAGAUUAGGUAGUUGGUGGGGUAAAGGCUCACCAAGCCGACGAUCUGUAGCUGGUCUGAGAGGACGACCAGCCACACUGGGACUGAGACACGGCCCAGACUCCUACGGGAGGCAGCAGUGGGGAAUUUUGGACAAUGGGGGCAACCCUGAUCCAGCAAUGCCGCGUGCGGGAAGAAGGCCUUCGGGUUGUAAACUGCUUUUGUACGGAACGAAAAGGCUCUGGUUAAUACCCGGAGCUAAUGACGGUACCGUAAGAAUAAGCACCGGCUAACUACGUGCCAGCAGCCGCCGCCGUAA